ACGAACGCUGGCGGCGUGCCUAAUACAUGCACGUAGAACGCUGAAGGAGGAGCUUGCUUCUCUGGAUGAGUUGCGAACGGGUGAGUAACGCGUAGGUAACCUGCCUGGUAGCGGGGGAUAACUAUUGGAAACGAUAGCUAAUACCGCAUAAUAGUAGAUGUCGCAUGACAUUUGCUUAAAAGGUGCAAUUGCAUCACUACCAGAUGGACCUGCGUUGUAUUAGCUAGUUGGUGAGGUAACGGCUCACCAAGGCAACGAUACAUAGCCGACCUGAGAGGGUGAUCGGCCACACUGGGACUGAGACACGGCCCAGACUCCUACGGGAGGCAGCAGUAGGGAAUCUUCGGCAAUGGACGGAAGUCUGACCGAGCAACGCCGCGUGAGUGAAGAAGGUUUUCGGAUCGUAAAGCUCUGUUGUAAGAGAAGAACGAGUGUGAGAGUGGAAAGUUCACACUGUGACGGUAUCUUACCAGAAAGGGACGGCUAACUACGUG
rnacentral:rRNA from 1 species